GAUGAAGAACGCAGCGAAAUGCGAUACGUAAUGUGAAUUGCAAAUUCAGUGAAUCAUCGAGUCUUUGAACGUACAUUGCGCCCCCUGGUAUUCCGGGGGGCAUGCCUGUCCGAGCGUCAUUGCUGCCCUCAAGCACGGCUUGUGUGUUGGGCCCCGUCCUCCGAUCCCGGGGGACGGGCCCGAAAGGCAGCGGCGGCACCGCGUCCGGUCCUCGAGCGUAUGGGGCUUUGUCACCCGCUCUGUAGGCCCGGCCGGCGCUUGCCGAUCAACCCAAAUUUUUUAUCCAGGUUGACCUCGGAUCAGGUAGGGAUACCCGCUGAACUUAAGCAUAUCAAUAAGCGGAGGA
rnacentral:misc_RNA from 1 species